rnacentral:rRNA from 1 species
UCUUGGUCAUUUAGAGGAAGUAAAAGUCAUAACAAGGUUUCCGUAGGUGAACCUGCGGAAGGAUCAUUAGAGAUUUGCCGUGAGGCUACACACACCCGUGCAUCACAUGCAUAUGUAACGAACGUCAUAACAUUAAUCAGUACAACUUUCAACAACGGAUCUCUUGGCUCUCGCAUCGAUGAAGGACGCAGCGAAAUGCGAUAAGUAAUGUGAAUUGCAGAACUCAGUGAAUCAUCGAAUCUUUGAACGCACCUUGCGCCCUCUGGUAUUCCGGAGGGCAUGCCUGUUUGAGUGUCAUGUGGACUCAACCCCGAGGUUUCUUGGGUGUUGGACUUGGGUGUUGCCUCCCGGCUCGCCUCAAAUGCGUUAGUGGUUCCGGUGUUUAAGUACCGUCGGCCCGCUCAUACAACCAUCUUUUGACUUCUGGCCUCAAAUCAGGUAGGACUACCCGCUGAACUUAAGCAUAUCAAUAAGCGGAGGAA